AACGAACGCUGGCGGCAGGCCUAACACAUGCAAGUCGAGCGCCCUUUCGGGGGAGCGGCGGACGGGUGAGUAACGCGUGGGAAUAUGCCCUUCUCUACGGAAUAGCCUCGGGAAACUGAGAGUAAUACCGUAUACGCCCUGUGGGGGAAAGAUUUAUCGGGGAAGGAUUAGCCCGCGUUGGAUUAGGUAGUUGGUGGGGUAAUGGCCUACCAAGCCGACGAUCCAUAGCUGGUGUGAGAGGAUGAUCAGCCACACUGAGACUGAGACACGGCCCAGACUCCUACGGGAGGCAGCAGUGGGGAAUCUUAGACAAUGGGGGCAACCCUGAUCUCGCCAUGCCGCGUGAGUGAUGAAGGCCUUAGGGUUGUAAAGCUCUUUCAGCUGGGAAGAUAAUGACGGUACCAGCAGAAGAAGCCCCGGCUAACUCCGUG
rnacentral:rRNA from 1 species